rnacentral:rRNA from 1 species
GACGAACGCUGGCGGCGUGCUUAACACAUGCAAGUCGAACGGAAAGGCCCUGCUUUUGUGGGGUGCUCGAGUGGCGAACGGGUGAGUAACACGUGAGUAACCUGCCCUUGACUUUGGGAUAACUUCAGGAAACUGGGGCGAAUACCGGAUAGGAGCUCCUGCUGCAUGGUGGGGGUUGGAAAGUUUCGGCGGUUGGGGAUGGACUCGCGGCUUAUCAGCUUGUUGGUGGGGUAGUGGCUUACCAAGGCUUUGACGGGUAGCCGGCCUGAGAGGGUGACCGGCCACAUUGGGACUGAGAUACGGCCCAGACUCCUACGGGAGGCAGCAGUGGGGAAUAUUGCACAAUGGGCGGAAGCCUGAUGCAGCAACGCCGCGUGCGGGAUGACGGCCUUCGGGUUGUAAACCGCUUUCGCCUGUGACGAAGCGUGAGUGACGGUAAUGGGUAAAGAAGCACCGGCUAACUACGUG